rnacentral:rRNA from 1 species
UACGGAGGGAGCUAGCGUUGUUCGGAAUUACUGGGCGUAAAGCGCACGUAGGCGGCUUUGUAAGUUAGAGGUGAAAGCCCGGGGCUCAACCCCGGAAUUGCCUUUAAGACUGCAUCGCUUGAAUCCGGGAGAGGUGAGUGGAAUUCCGAGUGUAGAGGUGAAAUUCGUAGAUAUUCGGAAGAACACCAGUGGCGAAGGCGGCUCACUGGACCGGUAUUGACGCUGGAGGUGACGAAAGCGUGGGGAGCAAACAGG